CCUACGGGUGGCAGCAGUGGGGAAUAUUGGACAAUGGGCGAAAGCCUGAUCCAGCCAUGCCGCGUGUGUGAAGAAGGCCUUCGGGUUGUAAAGCACUUUCAGUGGGGAAGAAAGCCUUGGGGCUAAUACCCUCGAGGAGGGACAUCACCCACAGAAGAAGCACCGGCUAACUCCGUGCCAGCAGCCGCGGUAAUACGGAGGGUGCGAGCGUUAAUCGGAAUUACUGGGCGUAAAGCGCGCGUAGGCGGUCUGAUAAGCCGGUUGUGAAAGCCCCGGGCUCAACCUGGGAACGGCAUCCGGAACUGUCAGGCUAGAGUGCAGGAGAGGAAGGUAGAAUUCCCGGUGUAGCGGUGAAAUGCGUAGAGAUCGGGAGGAAUACCAGUGGCGAAGGCGGCCUUCUGGACUGACACUGACGCUGAGGUGCGAAAGCGUGGGUAGCAAACAGGAUUAGAUACCCGAGUAGUC
rnacentral:rRNA from 1 species